UCAACGGCGGAGCCGCUGCAAGGACUCCGCGGGGGUCGUUGCCUGCGGAAUGGGCCACGGACUCGGCGAGGCGCGCCACGCAAACAGGCGAACCCCGCGCGCGCCGCCGCUUUCUUUUUCCUGUUGCGGAGGCCGAGCGAGCGCGCGCACACACCACGCCACUUGUGCCUUCCUCUCUCUCUCUCUCUCUCUCUCUCUCUCUCUCUCUCUCUCUCUUUCUUUCUUUCUUUUCUUACAGCGUCGUCGAUCGAACCACGAGUCACAGGAAGGAAGGAAGGAAGGAAGGAAGGAAGGAAGGAAGGAAGGAAGGAAGGAAGGAAGGAAAAAGUGGAGAAGGAAAGCUCGGCAUCUCCGCACCCGGACUUUCUUUCCCUGCGGGGGUCACACGUGCGGAAGGCACUCCGUCCAUUUAUUGUCAAUGCGACGAGGGCAAGUCGGCGGCGACGUUGACAGACUGCGGUGACCGGUCGUGCGAGGCGUCGCCGAGUGCCGGGACGGAAUGCCACGCGCCCACUCUAUAUAUCUCGGGCCGCGACGGAGCUGUACAACGAUGUGCCGAGAAAGACGACGACGACGACACCGAAGAAGCAGGAAAGACAAUGGCUUAGGAUUCAUCAAAGUCUCGGCUUUCCCUUUGGCGACACGAGGAUGAUGACAUUAUGUGCGUUUUAAAGGACAAGGUACAAGGAAAGGUGGACGGAGGUUGCGUUCCGUGUCGGGUGGUUGUCUUCGGUGUAGUGCUUGACAGGCACGGUAGCAGCAGUAACGUCGUGAAUAAGUAACGUGUAUAAAAUAUGCAGUGUGCUACAGAAAUGUGCGCGUGUUCGGUUUCUUCGAAGCUCAGUAAAUAAAUUGAGUGAAAUAAAGUCAGUCAGUCAGUCCGAGUGACAAUCGAGCGACUUAAAUAAAAUAAAUAUCAAAACCGUAGCCACUAUGGCUCCUACAUGGACCACCGUUUUUAACAUAUACGCCGUCCCAUUCUACGUGAGCCCCGUAUGUUGAUCGCACAGAGAAAGACAUCAGUUCGAGAGUACUGUCUGUAGAUGAAACACAGUUAUUCACGAAUCCGAGUUCAGCCUUAUUAUCAUUGAGGCAUCUCACUUAACAUGCUGCUUAAGUUCCUCAUAUAAGAGUGACCAGAACAAAUCCGUGAUGUGUUACACUUAACACCGAACAAGAAUCCAACUUCUGUAUUUAAAAUAAAUAAUUCACGCAAUCUGAACUUCAAGCAACGAAUAUGGCAGCCUCACAAGACGAAUACAAGUGGUUCUCUAAGAAAAAAAAACAUUUUUAAUGAGAAAAUUUAUUUCAUAUCCUCAUGUCAUUUCAUAUUGCCACGUA